rnacentral:rRNA from 1 species
CUACGGGCGGCUGCAGUGGGGAAUAUUGCACAAUGGGCGCAAGCCUGAUGCAGCCAUGCCGCGUGUAUGAAGAAGGCCUUCGGGUUGUAAAGUACUUUCAGCGGGGAGGAAGGGAGUAAAGUUAAUACCUUUGCUCAUUGACGUUACCCGCAGAAGAAGCACCGGCUAACUCCGUGCCAGCAGCCGCGGUAAUACGGAGGGUGCAAGCGUUAAUCGGAGUGACUGGGCGUAAAGCGCACGCAGGCGGUUUGUUAAGUCAGAUGUGAAAUCCCCGGGCUCAACCUGGGAACUGCAUCUGAUACUGGCAAGCUUGAGUCUCGUAGAGGGGGGUAGAAUUCCAGGUGUAGCGGUGAAAUGCGUAGAGAUCUGGAGGAAUACCGGUGGCGAAGGCGGCCCCCUGGACGAAGACUGACGCUCAGGUGCGAAAGCGUGGGGAGCAAACAGGAUUAGAUACCCGUGUAGUC